CACAAACAGCACAUGGGCAGGGCGGUGAGCCCUGAGCCGACAUCACAUUCCACACGGCUAAGCGCCCCCAGCCCACCAAUGUCCUAAAAAGGCCGGAAAUCUGCCAAGAUUCCUUUCAGGAAAGGCAGGGACCAUGACCGGAUCAGACCCAGGCCUGGAGCCCCCCAAGGAACACCAGUCCUACCAACUGAGAAGCACCCAGCCGAAGAGAGGACUGUGGCCAGCACCUGUCCCUAGAAGCCAGAGCUGGAAGAAUUCCUUCUGACAAGCCCAUACACAGGCGGGGAAUGCCAAAUGUCCUACCUUGCUUCGAGGGGCUUCAAAUUCCCACCCACCAGUGAGUCCAGAUAGUCCAGGCUCUGUGCUUCUGUAUCUACUGUUCCCUCCUACAGAAGGUUCUGUUCUCACUUCUCCCCUGAACAGACCACUGUCCAAAAUGCUUCUCAAACUCUGGCUCUUCUGUGAUGACCCCUGGGCCUUGCUGAGCAUCGAGUCAUAUUAUGUUCCCUGGUUCUAAACCCAUUUAUUUGCAUACCUACACACAUUGACUCUGCUACUCCAGAAUCUUGCUCACUGUGUGGAAACUCUCUCUCCCUCUCUCUCUCUCUCUCUCUCUCUCUCUCUCUCUCUCUCUCUCACAAGACA